UACAGGGGGUGCAACCGUUGCUCGGAAUCAUUGGGCGUAAAGCGCACGUAGGCGGUCUGUUAUGUCGGAUGUGAAAGCCCUUGGCUUAACUGAGGAAGUGCAUCCGAAACUGGCAGGCUAGAGUACUAAAGAGGGUCGCGGAAUUCCCGGUGUAGAGGUGAAAUUCGUAGAUAUCAAGAGGAACACCUGAGGUGAAGACGGGUUGCUGGGCUGACACUGACGCUGAGGCGCGAAAGCCAGGGGAGCAAACGGG
rnacentral:rRNA from 1 species